rnacentral:rRNA from 1 species
CUGGAGGUAUCAGAAGUGCGAAUGCUGACAUAAGUAACGAUAAAGCGGGUGAAAAGCCCGCUCGCCGGAAGACCAAGGGUUCCUGUCCAACGUUAAUCGGGGCAGGGUGAGUCGACCCCUAAGGCGAGGCCGAAAGGCGUAGUCGAUGGGAAACAGGUUAAUAUUCCUGUACUUGGUGUUACUGCGAAGGGGGGACGGAGAAGGCUAUGUUGGCCGGGCGACGGUUGUCCCGGUUUAAGCGUGUAGGCUGGUUUUCCAGGCAAAUCCGGAAAAUCAAGGCUGAGGCGUGAUGACGAGGCACUACGGUGCUGAAGCAACAAAUGCCCUGCUUCCAGGAAAAGCCUCUAAGCAUCAGGUAACAUCAAAUCGUACCCCAAACCGACACAGGUGGUCAGGUAGAGAAUACCAAGGCGCUUGAGAGAACUCGGGUGAAGGAACUAGGCAAAAUGGUGCCGUAACUUCGGGAGAAGGCA